ACCACCUCUUCGUUGGCUCCUGUCUCUCUCGCAUACGCCUCCGCCUCCGCCCUGAUUGACGCCGCCACCACGCUGCCGGACUCCGCCUGCUCCCCGUCCCCCCUUCUCUCAUCAAAGCUGCCGCCCAGUAGUGUCGCCUCCUGCACAAGGCUAACCCUAUUUCCUCAACCUCAUCCCGGCGGCGGCAGCGCAAGGGAUGGAUGCGGAUUUCUCGCCACGUCCAACCUCGGCACGGCGCCGGAGAUGGAGAUGGACCUCUAGACUUGUUCGAGAUCUAGCAUGGCAACGGCGCCGACAUGCCAUCAACACUCUCGGACCCAGCCUUCGCCUCCAAUCGCUCGUACGGCACGGUCCCUCUGUCUCACGUCUCCUUCACAUGGCGGCGCAACGACAAGGCCAGCGACGACAACAACAAGAGGGAAGGCCUUCUCCCGUCAGAGAAGCUACUCGAUUCGAUCUCCACUUCGUCUCAUCGCAACACAGGAAGACCACGGAUCGGGCGAUUUGGAAGAGGAGGCGCUAGCAGUUUGUACAAACAAACUCGCAGAUUUCGUGUUCUCUAGCAUUACAUGGGGAAACGAGGCUUUCUAACUGAUGGUGUCAUGAUGAUUGUGCACGCUCAGUUAUUUGAUGUAGAUUUUAUAAGACCGGAUAAAUCGUGCGAAAGCUCUUACGGCCGUUUACUAAUCGCUGAAGUACGAGUUGAUGUGGAAAACGAAAUUUGUUUGCACCUGCACCUGCACCUGCCUAAUUGCGCGUAGAUAAGAAGGGAUGAUAAAUCAUAACAUAGCACUACCUAAGAAUUUUACUUAGACUCGUGUAAGUUGAUGCACAUGAGUUAUCACGGUUUAGGGUUUACUUCAUGGUAACGAUCAUUCGUCGAUUAUGUGGCAGUAAAUAGUUGAAUGGUAUAAGCUUAUGAGUCAUGAUCCAAAAAGUUGUUAGCCUAUGCCACUGUCCAUGUUUUAUGAGCAUAAUUGAUUUUCUGUUUUUUUUGUUUUGUUUUUUUUGGACUUUCAUAGAUGUUUUUCCGUUACAUACUGUUGUGCUACUUUAAAAAGGCCAUCACAACUUAUUGUGGUAUUUCGGAAGUAUAUAACUCAAUCCACUAUGCACUGCGCAUAUCUGAUAUUAGGUCGCCAAUUUAUUCAUUAAGGCGUGUUUUUUCACAUUUAUGCUACAAAGAUCUGUAAUGCCUUGAGGUUACUGAAGUUUGUUGUUAAGUAUAUUCUGGAAGUUCUAUUGGAUUUGUUUCCGCUAAAUAAAGCCUAGAUGUGCACCUAAUUCUGAUUUGGAUAUAAAUACAGGGGCGCACAAGGAGGCUACUAAUAUUAUAUGAGUAUACAUUUAAAAGGCAAUGUGAGGAUUUCUUUUCUGAGGCAUUUUCCGACACUAUGCUUAUUGUAUUUUCAAAUGGUUUAUUCUUUUGCUCCAUCAAUUUGUGAACCAAUUUUUCCUCUCAAUAUAAUUUGAUUAUUUAUUUGUUAGCUUCCCUGCCUGUCCUUCUGUCCCUUCGACCGGCCAUGUCAUCGCCCCAUGUCGCAAUUAAGAGCUUUCAGAGCCAUCGUGGUGUGCAAUUUUUUCCCUGCAAUUGGUAACUAAAAUUCUUCUUUUUGCGAGAUGACAUCAAUAUUCACCAUUAAUGAGAAAAUUGGAGAUGAAUUCUAUGCUGCUGAGAGUAUCAUAGUAGCUGAUGCAAUUGCUACGUGAUAGCAUGGUGCACCAUUCUAUUUAGUAAUCGCUACUUUUCUUCUGUUGCAAACCAAUAUUAUUUCCAUUGCUCUCUUUGCACAAUUUCUCUAAUAAUCUUCCACAAAUGUUGUUUUGUUGGUAAAAUUUGCAGAUAAGCUUGGUUUAGCAAAACUAUAUGGAGCUUUGUCUAGGAAAUUGUGGAUAAUUAGAGAAGUAAGGAAUCUUCUAUUUCCGGAAUUAAGUUACAGAUAUAGUUACAACAUGGAGCUUAUACUACCCUGGUGUGAAGAAGUUACCACAAUGGCCAUGUCAUGGAAAUCUCAGCAUAGUAAAUGAAAUUCUUCAUUUAAUCAUCCUGAGUUAGACAUAUUCACAGCAUAAAGCUUAUAUUACCAAUGGUUUAUAAGAAUUGCACACACAUCUAUACCUAGCAUAGCUUAUACUACCAAUGGUUUACUAUCUUUUUUGUAGUAUACUUCGCCAAAUGAAAUCUAUCUUUAGAGGAAAAUUUAAUUGAGUACUUUCGAUUGUACAUGAAGAAUGACCUUUGAUGUAAGCUACAUGUUAUUUGAAUCAUGCAAUCAAACAAAGAAAUAUUAUCUAGGUUUAUUUAUGGACUGAAAGAUCUCAUGUGUGGGGAGCAGUAGAAAGAAGGGGUUUGCAGGAUUAGAGUGGGCCGUGCCAUUCUCCAUAUGGUUUCCCCUCACGACUAUCCUUUGGGCAACUAUUCAGGUAAUUAUCAUUUCUCCUCUGAUUCUCAGGUGAUUAAAGACAUAGGUUCUGGUGAGUUCGGCUCAGUUCUGGAGUUACUCAAUUUUUCAUCUUGCCUGGAGUUAAUUUCAUUUUGAUACAUUUGCUUUCUGGCUGAUGCAUCUGUUGAAUGUUAGUUGUCAAAUUUGUUCUUAACCGUUUCGUCUUUCAAAUGAUGCCCAAGUACCUCUCGAAGGCCUAGCAAGUGGCCAUGUCCUUCACAUGUACAAUAUAUACAGGAACCUGAGUUGUUUUUCCUCCCAUUCAAGACGGAUGCCGUGAGUUGUUUCUUGAUAUAAAUUACAUGGGUUUUGGUUUAUCCGGUAAUAAGGCCCCACAAUGUGUUUGAUGUUUCUUUAUAUUAAUACUCUGCCCCAAACCCCAUAAUGUGUUGGAGCUUUCAACACUAGGUACGCUCUUUUUUUCAAUAAUAAGAGGUGAUUUGAUCACAUAGUAAGGUUGUCUUUUUUCUGUUUUCUGAUGUACAUGAGGGUUUUGGCUGAUGUUCUCUUCACAAAUAGAGGUCAAAUGCAAGUUGUUUUGCUUGUAGCAAUGGAGAUGAUUGGUAUUCUUGUUUCAAGUUUUCUUUGAGAGAGUUUCAUGAUUAUUGGAGGCUUCAUAGUGGUGAAGAAGUUACAACUGCUAUUUCUGAUGCAUCUCACCAUUUUUUACUAUGCACCUUAAUGUGUGUACGACUGGAGUUGUGGUGCCGAUGUCAGUGGCCGUCAUCGUCUUCAUGUAUGCAUGCAAGCUUAACUUGGCCUAGGAACGAGCGUGCGGCAGAGGUAGCAGUUCUUUGCUUCUCGAUGUUCAUUAAAUAUCUGAAGCUUUGAAGGUCGAUCAUCAAUAUCAGACAAUUUGAUUUAUUUGUAAAACAAUAUAAUUAUUUUCGAUCGGCUGCCAAGUUCUACUAAACAAUUUACUUUUGCCAAUGCAUAAUAGUGAAUGCAAUACUAUUUAAGCUUGCUGAUAUUUCCAAUAAAAGUUCCUAGGAUGUGGAGCGUGAGGGUUCUGCUGUUGUUAUUACGGUACCAAAUACGAUAAAUUUAAAAUGAGUUUAACUACAUAAUACUUCAGU